rnacentral:rRNA from 1 species
UUAGAGGAAGUAAAAGUCGUAACAWGGUUUCCGUAGGUGAACCUGCGGAAGGAUCAUUACUAGAGCAAAGGAUAGACAGCGCCCGCGGAGCUCGCUCCCGGGGCUACCCUACUUCAGUAGGGUUUAGAGUCGUCGGGCCUCUCAGAGAAGCUCGGUCCUGAACUCCACCCUUGAAUAAACUACCUUUGUUGCUUUGGCGGGCCGCCUCGUGCCAGCGGCUUCGGCUGUUGAGUGCCCGCCAGAGGACCAUAACUCUUGUUUUUAGUGAUGUCUGAGUACUAUAUAAUAGUUAAAACUUUCAACAACGGAUCUCUUGGUUCUGGCAUCGAUGAAGAACGCAGCGAAAUGCGAUAAGUAAUGUGAAUUGCAGAAUUCAGUGAAUCAUCGAAUCUUUGAACGCACAUUGCGCCCUCUGGUAUUCCGGGGGGCAUGCCUGUUCGAGCGUCAUUAUAACCACUCAAGCUCUCGCUUGGUAUUGGGGUUCGCGGUUUCGCGGCCCCUAAAAUCAGUGGCGGUGCCUAUCGGCUCUACGCGUAGUAAUACUCCUCGCGAUUGAGUCCGGUAGGUCUACUUGCCAGCAACCCCUAAUUUUUUUAAGGUUGACCUCGGAUCAGGUAGGGAUACCCGCUGAACUUAAGCAUAUCAAUAAGC